rnacentral:tRNA from 1 species
AAAUAUAACUUAGUUGGUCAAAGUAUCAGAUUGUGACUCUGAAAACACGGGUUUGAUUCCCGUUAUUC